rnacentral:rRNA from 1 species
GGGACCCCGAGUGCGAGGGCAUACAGUCCUCGCUUUUCACCACCGUAAGGUGGUGGUGGAAUAAGAGCUGGGCAAGACCGGUGCCAGCCGCCGCGGUAAUACCGGCAGCUCGAGUGAUGGCCGAUUUUAUUGGGCCUAAAGCGUCCGUAGCCGGCCACACAAGUCCAUCGGGAAAUCCGCCAGCCCAACUGGCGGGCGUCCGGUGGAAACUGUGUGGCUUGGGACCGGAAGACCCAACAGGUACGUCUUGGGUAGGAGUGAAAUCCCGUAAUCCUGGACGGACCACCGAUAGCGAAAGCAUGUUGGGAAGACGGAUCCGACGGUGAGGGACGAAAGCCAGGGUCUCGAACCGGAUUAGAUACCCGGGUAGUCCUGGCCGUAAACGAUGUCUGCUAGGUGUGGCUCCCACUACGAGUGGGUGCUGUGCCGUAGGGAAGCCGCUAAGCAGACCGCCUGGGAAGUACGUCCGCAAGGAUGAAACUUAAAGGAAUUGGCGGGGGAGCACUACAACCGGAGGAGCCUGCGGUUUAAUUGGACUCAACGCCGGACAUCUCACCAGCAUCGACAACAGCAAUGACGGUCAGGUUGAUGACCUUGCCAGAGCUGUUGAGA